rnacentral:rRNA from 1 species
UGCUAGUCGAGCGGAUGAGAAGAGCUUGCUCUUCGAUUCAGCGGCGGACGGGCUGUAGUAAUGCCUAGGAAUCUGCCUGGUAGUGGGGGACAACGUUUCGAAAGGAACGCUAAUACCGCAUACGUCCUACGGGAGAAAGCAGGGGACCUUCGGGCCUUGCGCUAUCAGAUGAGCCUAGGUCGGAUUAGCUAGUUGGUGGGGUAAUGGCUCACCAAGGCGACGAUCCGUAACUGGUCUGAGAGGAUGAUCAGUCACACUGGAACUGAGACACGGUCCAGACUCCUACGGGAGGCAGCAGUGGGGAAUAUUGGACAAUGGGCGAAAGCCUGAUCCAGCCAUGCCGCGUGUGUGAAGAAGGUCUUCGGAUUGUAAAGCACUUUAAGUUGGGAGGAAGGGCAUUAACCUAAUACGUUAGUGUUUUGACGUUACCGACAGAAUAAGCACCGGCUAACUCUGUGCCAGCAGCCGCGGUANUACAGAGGGUGCAAGCGUUAAUCG